rnacentral:snRNA from 1 species
GUGCUCGCUGCAGCAGCACAUAUGCUAAAAUUGGAACACUACAGACAAGAUUAGCACAGCCCCUGUGCAAGGAUGACACACAAAUUCGUGAAGCAGUCACAUUACAA